rnacentral:rRNA from 1 species
GAUUCCCCUAGUAANUGCGAGUGAAGCGGGAAGAGCUCAAAUUUAAAAUCUGGCGGCUUCUAGUCGUCCGAGUUGUAACCUGGAGAGGCAUUUUCCGCGUUGGACCGUGUACAAGUCUCCUGGAAUGGAGCGUCAUAGAGGGUGAGAAUCCCGUCCAUGACACGGACCGCCAAUGCUCUGUGAUAUGCCUUCGAAGAGUCGCGUUGUUUGGGAAUGCAGCGCAAAAUGGGUGGUAAAUUCCAUCUAAAGCUAAAUAUUGGCGAGAGACCGAUAGCGAACAAGUACCGUGAGGGAAAGAUGAAAAGCACUUUGGAAAGAGAGUUAAACAGUACGUGAAAUUGUUGAAAGGGAAGCGCUUGAAGUCAGUCGCGUUCCGUGGAACUCAGCCUUACCUCGGUUUGGUGUACUUUCCAUUUGAACGGGUCAACGUCAAUUUUGGCCGGUGGACAAAGACAAGGGGAAUGUAGCGUUGCUUCGGUGACGUGUUAUAGACCCUUGUUGUAUACACCGGUUAGGAUUGAGGACUGCAGCACGCCCUUGUGGCCGGGGGUUCGCCCCACGUAACGUGCUUAGGAUGUUGGCAUAAUGGCUUUAAGCGACCCGUCUUGAAACACGGACCAAGGAGUCUAACAUGCUUGCGAGUGUUCGGGUGGAAAACCCUUGCGCGUAAUGAAAGUGAAAGUUAGGAACCUUCUCGCAUGAGAGGGUGCACUGACGCCCGGCCCUGACGUUCUCUGACGGUGCUGCGGUAGAGCAAGUGCGUUGGGACCCGAAAGAUGGUGAACUAUGCCUGAAUAGGGCGAAGCCAGAGGAAACUCUGGUGGAGGCUCGUAGCGAUUCUGACGUGCAAAUCGAUCGUCAAAUUUGGGUAUAGGGGCGAAAGACUAAUCGAA